rnacentral:rRNA from 1 species
CCUACGGGUGGCAGCAGUCGAGAAUCAUUCACAAUGGGGGAAACUCUGAUGGUGCGACGCCGCGUGGGGGAAUGAAGGUCUUCGGAUUGUAAACCCCUGUCAUGUGGGAGCAAAUUAAAAAGAUAGUACCACAAGAGGAAGAGACGGCUAAUUCUGUUCCACCAGCCGCGGGAAUACAGAGGUCUCAAGCGUUGUUCGGAAUCACUGGGCGUAAGGGGUGCGGAGGCUGUUUCGUAAGUCAGGUGUGAAAGGCGCGGGCUCAACCCGCGGACGGCACAUGAUACUGCGAGACUAGAGUAAUGGAGGGGGAACCGGAAUUCGCGGUGUAGCAGUGAAAUGCGUAGAUAUCGAGAGGAACACUCGUGGCGAAGGCGGGUUCCUGGACAUUAACUGACGCUGAGGCACGAAGGCCAGGGGAGCGAAAGGGAUUAGAUACCCUUGUAGUC